rnacentral:rRNA from 1 species
UACGUAGGUGGCAAGCGUUGUCCGGAAUUAUUGGGCGUAAAGCGCGCGCAGGCGGUCUCUUAAGUCUGAUGUGAAAGCCCCCGGCUCAACCGGGGAGGGUCAUUGGAAACUGGGAGACUUGAGGACAGAAGAGGAGAGUGGAAUUCCAAGUGUAGCGGUGAAAUGCGUAGAUAUUUGGAGGAACACCAGUGGCGAAGGCGGCUCUCUGGUCUGUUACUGACGCUGAGGCGCGAAAGCGUGGGGAG